rnacentral:rRNA from 1 species
UACGGAGGGAGCUAGCGUUGUUCGGAAUUACUGGGCGUAAAGCGUACGUAGGCGGUUACUCAAGUCAGAGGUGAAAGCCCGGGGCUCAACCCCGGAACUGCCUUUGAAACUAGGUAGCUAGAAUCUUGGAGAGGUCAGUGGAAUUCCGAGUGCAGAGGUGAAAUUCGUAGAUAUUCGGAAGAACACCAGUGGCGAAGGCGACUGACUGGACAAGUAUUGACGCUGAGGUACGAAAGCGUGGGGAGCAAACAGG